rnacentral:rRNA from 1 species
UACAGAGGGGGCAAGCGUUAUUCGGAAUUAUUGGGCGUAAAGGGCGCGUAGGCGGCUUGGCAAGUGGAAGGUGAAAUCCCUCGGCUUAACCGAGGAACUGCCCUCCAAACUGCUUUGCUUGAGGCCGGGAGAGGUGAGUGGAAUUCCCAGUGUAGCGGUGAAAUGCGUAGAUAUUGGGAGGAACACCAGUGGCGAAGGCGGCCAACUGGUCCGAUACUGACGCUGAUGCGCGAAAGCGUGGGUAGCAAACAGG